rnacentral:rRNA from 1 species
UGGGUGAGUAAUGUCUGGGAAACUGCCUGAUGGAGGGGGAUAACUACUGGAAACGGUAGCUAAUACCGCAUGAUGUCGCAAGACCAAAGUGGGGGACCUUCGGGCCUCACGCCAUCGGAUGUGCCCAGAUGGGAUUAGCUAGUAGGUGGGGUAAUGGCUCACCUAGGCGACGAUCCCUAGCUGGUCUGAGAGGAUGACCAGCCACACUGGAACUGAGACACGGUCCAGACUCCUACGGGAGGCAGCAGUGGGGAAUAUUGCACAAUGGGCGCAAGCCUGAUGCAGCCAUGCCGCGUGUGUGAAGAAGGCCUUAGGGUUGUAAAGCACUUUCAGCGAGGAGGAAGGCGUUGUAGUUAAUAGCUGCAACGAUUGACGUUACUCGCAGAAGAAGCACCGGCUAACUCCGUGCCAGCAGCCGCGGUAAUACGGAGGGUGCAAGCGUUAAUCGGAAUUACUGGGCGUAAAGCGCACGCAGGCGGUUUGUUAAGUCAGAUGUGAAAUCCCCGAGCUUAACUUGGGAACUGCAUUUGAAACUGGCAAGCUAGAGUCUUGUAGAGGGGGGUAGAAUUCCAGGUGUAGCGGUGAAAUAAAUAGAGAUCUGGGGGAAUACCGGUGGCGAAGGCGGCCCCCUGACAAA